AACGAACGCUGGCGGCAUGCCUAACACAUGCAAGUCGAACGGGACCUUCCGGUCUAGUGGCGCACGGGGGCGUAACGCGGGGGAACCUGCCCUUAGGUUCGGAAUAACUCCCCGAAAGGUGUGCUAAUACCGGUUAAUGUCUUCGGACCAAAGAUUUAUCGCCUUUGGAUGGGGCCGCGUUGGAUUCGCUGGUUGGUAGGGUAAAAGCCUACCAAGGCGACGAUCCAUAGCUGGUCUGAGAGGAUGAUCAGCCACACUUGGACUGAGACACGGCCCAGACUCCUACGGGAGGCAGCAGUGGGGAAUAUUGGACAAUGGGCGAAAGCCUGAUCCAGCAAUGCCGCGUGAGUGAUGAAGGCCUUAGGGUUGUAAAGCUCUUUUACCCGGGAUGAUAAUGACAGUACCGGGAGAAUAAGCUCCGGCUAACUCCGUG
rnacentral:rRNA from 1 species